AGAGUUUGAUCCUGGCUCAGGAUGAACGCUGGCGGCGUGCUUAACACAUGCAAGUCGAACGAUGAUGCCCACUUGUGGGUGGAUUAGUGGCGAACGGGUGAGUAACACGUGAGUAACCUGCCCUUAACUCUGGGAUAAGCCUGGGAAACUGGGUCUAAUACCGGAUAUGACUCCUCAUCGCAUGGUGGGGGGUGGAAAGCUUUUUGUGGUUUUGGAUGGACUCGCGGCCUAUCAGCUUGUUGGUGAGGUAAUGGCUCACCAAGGCGACGACGGGUAGCCGGCCUGAGAGGGUGACCGGCCACACUGGGACUGAGACACGGCCCAGACUCCUACGGGAGGCAGCAGUGGGGAAUAUUGCACAAUGGGCGAAAGCCUGAUGCAGCGACGCCGCGUGAGGGAUGACGGCCUUCGGGUUGUAAACCUCUUUCAGUAGGGAAGAAGCGAAAGUGACGGUACCUGCAGAAGAAGCGCCGGGCUAACUACGUGCCAGCAGCCGCGGUAAUACGUAGGGCGCAAGCGUUAUCCGGAAUUAUUGGGCGUAAAGAGCUCGUAGGCGGUUUGUCGCGUCUGCCGUGAAAGUCCGGGGCUCAACUCCGGAUCUGCGGUGGGUACGGGCAGACUAGAGUGAUGUAGGGGAGACUGGAAUUCCUGGUGUAGCGGUGAAAUGCGCAGAUAUCAGGAGGAACACCGAUGGCGAAGGCAGGUCUCUGGGCAUUAACUGACGCUGAGGAGCGAAAGCAUGGGGAGCGAACAGGAUUAGAUACCCUGGUAGUCCAUGCCGUAAACGUUGGGCACUAGUGUGGGGGACAUUCCACGUUUUCCGCGCCGUAGCUAACGCAUUAAGUGCCCCGCCUGGGGAGUACGGCCGCAAGGCUAAAACUCAAAGGAAUUGACGGGGGCCCGCACAAGCGGCGGAGCAUGCGGAUUAAUUCGAUGCAACGCGAAGAACCUUACCAAGGCUUGACAUGGGCCGGAUCGCCGCAGAAAUGUGGUUUCCCCUUUGGGGCCGGUUCACAGGUGGUGCAUGGUUGUCGUCAGCUCGUGUCGUGAGAUGUUGGGUUAAGUCCCGCAACGAGCGCAACCCUCGUUCUAUGUUGCCAGCGCGUUAUGGCGGGGACUCAUAGGAGACUGCCGGGGUCAACUCGGAGGAAGGUGGGGACGACGUCAAAUCAUCAUGCCCCUUAUGUCUUGGGCUUCACGCAUGCCACAAUGGCCGGUACAAAGGGUUGCGAUACUGUGAGGUGGAGCUAAUCCCAAAAAGCCGGU
rnacentral:rRNA from 1 species